rnacentral:rRNA from 1 species
ACACGACUACAUUAGAUACCCGCGUAGUCCCAGCCCUAAACGAUGCGCGUUAGGUGUAUCGGUGACCACGAGUCACCGAGGUGCCGAAGGGAAACCGUGAAACGUGCCGCCUGGGAAGUACGGUCGCAAGGCUGAAACUUAAAGGAAUUGGCGGGGGAGCACAACAACGGGCGGAGCUUGCGGUUUAAUUGGAUUCAACGCCGGAAAUCUUACCGGGACCGACAGCAACAUGAAGGCCAAGCUGAAGACUUUGCCGGAUUAGCUG